UCUUGUAGAUUUCGAAAAAGAGCAGACUAAUGCCGCUACAAGGCUGCACUUGUACCUGGAAAGUGGGAAAAGGAUUAAUAUAAGUUGCAAUAACUUGUUUCUUAAUCCACUAAAAUAAAUAUUUUUAAACUAAAGUAGUUGGUCUUCCAAAAAAGGUGAUGAUCAGGUGCUCAAUUGGAUAACUUUUUCAAAUACUUUUUAAAGAUCUAGGAACACACAUGAACAGAAUACUAUUAAAUUCUUUCCAAAG
rnacentral:lncRNA from 1 species